AUCUAAUUAGUUUAUUAAAAAUAUUGGCUUGUGGAGCCGAGGAAGCAGAGCAAGGUCUGUAUUAGGUA
rnacentral:tRNA from 1 species